rnacentral:pre_miRNA from 12 species
GCUGUGCGGCAGCAGGACUUAGCCCACAUGUGAACAGUGAGUGUAUGCCAUGUUCACAGUGGUUAAGUUCUGCCGCCACA